UUCUAAAUCUUUGGACUACUUUUAAAUGGUUGACAGACCAGAAAAAUUUGAGAAAGAAAGUUUUAUAACAAAUCGUCUUAUUAUCUAUCUUGCCUAAAAGGAGUGAUCAACCUUGAAUGACAGAAUUUAUUUUAGGUCGAUAAUGGUUGGACGGUGGUGUGGUGUAUGCUUGCUAAGCGAAAAUAUUGCAGGACAUAAGUUAGACGAAUUGAAU